CUGGGCCCCUGGCCAGUGCCCUGCUGGGUUCUCCCUUGCUUUCCUUGGCUGUAGGUCCAGAGGAGGAGGAAGCCCACCGCGGACCCCCUGCCGCACUGCCCGCUGUGCUCUGGACUUGAAGUUUCAGGCAAUGGCUGCAAGUCUCCUAUAAAAUGCGACAUGGACCGGCUUGCUCCAGCACAAGGUUUGCGGCUGGGCUUCGAGAGUGGCUGCCGUGCCGAGCCUGUAGCCUCCUAAGCAGAGUUCACUGAGCUUCUCCAACUGCGUCUGCAAAGCUCAGCCUGCAG
rnacentral:lncRNA from 1 species